CCUACGGGGGGCUGUAGUCGGGAAUUUUGCACAAUGGGCGAAAGCCUGAUGCAGCAACGCCGCGUGAGGGAUGAAGGCCUUCGGGUUGUAAACCUCUUUUCUCAGGGACGAUGAUGACGGUACCUGAGGAAUAAGCCACGGCUAACUACGUGCCAGCAGCCGCGGUAAUACGUAGGUGGCAAGCGUUGUCCGGAUUUACUGGGCGUAAAGAGCGCGCAGGCGGUCGUGCAAGUCGAAUGUGAAAGCCCCCGGCUCAACUGGGGAGGGUCAUUCGAUACUGCUCGACUUGAAGGCAGGAGAGGGAAGCGGAAUUCCCGGUGUAGUGGUGAAAUGCGUAGAUAUCGGGAGGAACACCAGUGGCGAAGGCGGCUUUCUGGCCUGUUCUUGACGCUGAGGCGCGAAAGCCAGGGGAGCAAACGGGAUUAGAUACCCCUGUAGUC
rnacentral:rRNA from 1 species